GAUGAACGCUGGCGGCGUGCCUCAAACAUGCAAGUCGAGCGGGGCUAUGUAAUACUGCAAGGUAGAACAUAGCCUAGCGGCGAACGGGUGAGUAACACGUGGGUAACCUGCCUGGAAGACAGGGAUAACGAUUCGAAAGGGUCGCUAAUACCUGAUAAUAUCCUUUCAUCGCAUGGUGAUAGGAAGAAAGGGGGAAACCCGCUUUCAGAUGGGCCCGCGUCCCAUCAGCUAGUUGGUAAGGUAAAGGCUUACCAAGGCGACGACGGGUAGCCGGUCUGAGAGGAUGUACGGCCACACUGGGACUGAGAUACGGCCCAGACUCCUACGGGAGGCAGCAGUUGGGAAUCUUAGGCAAUGGACGAAAGUCUGACCUAGCGACGCCGCGUGAGGGAAGAAGGCCUUGGGUUGUAAACCUCUGUCAUGGGGAAGAAGUAAGUGACGGUACCCCAAGAGGAAGCCCCUGCUAACUACGUGCCAGCAGCCGCGGUAAAGAGUAGGUACA
rnacentral:rRNA from 1 species